rnacentral:rRNA from 1 species
ACCCGGGGCAUUGCCUCAGUACGGCGAGCGAAGCGGCAAAAGCUCAAAUUUGAAAUCUAGCGCCUACCAGCGUUCGAGUUGUAAUUUGAAGAAGGUAACUUUGGUAAUGGCCCUUGCAUAUGUUCCUUGGAAUAGGACGUCAUAGAGGGUGAGAACCCCGUUUAUGGUGAGGUGCUCCAUUGCUAUGUAAAGUGCUUUCUAAGAGUCGAGUUGUUUGGGAAUGCAGCUCUAAGUGGGUGGUAAAUUCCAUCUAAGGCUAAAUAUAGGCGAGAGACCGAUAGCGAACAAGUACAGUGAUGGAAAGAUGAAAAGAACUUUGAAAAGAGAGUGAAAAAGUACGUGAAAUUGCUGAAAGGGAAGGGCUUGACAUCAGACUCGGCUUGUAAUGAUCAACUGUCUCUUGGGACUGUGCACUCGUUGCUUGCUGGGCCAACAUCAGUUUUGGUGGUAGGAUAAUAACAGUGGAAUGUGACUUUGCUUCGGUGAAGUGUUAUAGCCUCUGUUGAUACUACCAACCGGGACUGAGGACCGCGCAUUUAUGCUAGGAUGUUGGCGUAAUGAUGUUAAGCCACCCGUCUUGAACCAAGGGACCA